GAUGAACGCUAGCGGCAGGCUUAACACAUGCGAGUCGAGGGGCAGCAUGAUUGUAGCAAUACAAUUGAUGGCGACCGGCAAACGGGUGCGGAACACGUACACAACCUUCCAACAAGUGGGGGAUAGCACAGAGAAAUUUGGAUUAAUACCCCGUAACAUAGCGAUGUGGCAUCACAUUGCUCUUAUAGAUUUUUCGCUUGUUGGUUGGUGUGCGGCUGAUUAGAUAGUUGGCGGGGUAACGGCCCACCAAGGCUACGAUCAGUAGCUGAUGUGAGGGCAUGAUCAGCCACACGGGAACUGAGACACGGGCCCGACUGCUACGGGAGGGAGCAGUAAGGAAGAUUGGACAAGGGACGCAAAUCUGAUCCAGCCAUGCCGCGUGAAGGAUUAAGGUCCUCUGGAUUGUAAACUUCUUUUAUAAGGGACGAAAAAAGGCUUUUCUAAGUCGUCUGACGGUACCUUAUGAAUAAGCACCGGCUAACUCCGUGCCAGCCGCCGCGGUAACAC
rnacentral:rRNA from 1 species